rnacentral:rRNA from 1 species
AUGAACGUUGGCGGCGUGGAUUAGGCAUGCAAGUCGUGCGAGAAAUUCCAGCUUGCUGGAAUGGACAGCGGCGAAAGGGAGAGUAAUACGUAGAAAUCUGCCCUCGGGUCUGGGAUAGCGUCGGGAAACUGGCGGUAAUACCGGAUAAUGUCUUCGGACCAAAGGUGUGAUUCCGCCGGAGGAUGAGUCUACGACCUAUUAGCUAGUUGGCGGGGUAAUGGCCCACCAAGGCGACGAUGGGUAGCGGGUGUGAGAGCAUGGCCCGCUCACUGGGACUGAGACACUGCCCCAGACAUCUACGGAUGGCUGCAGUCGAGAAUCUUUGCAAUGGACAGAGUCUGAACAAGCGACGCCGCGUGCGGGAUGAAGGCCCUCGGGUUGUAAACCGCUGUCGUAAGGGAGCAAAUCUAUUGGGGUU